UACGUAGGGUGCAAGCGUUAAUCGGAAUUACUGGGCGUAAAGCGUGCGCAGGUGGUUCGGCAAGAAAGGUGUGAAAUCCCAGGGCUUAACCUUGGAAUGGCACUUUUAACUGCCGGGCUAGAGUAUGUCAGAGGGGGGUAGAAUUCCACGUGUAGCAGUGAAAUGCGUAGAGAUGUGGAGGAAUACCGAUGGCGAAGGCAGCCCCCUGGGAUAAUACUGACGCUCAGGCACGAAAGCGUGGGGAGCAAACAGG
rnacentral:rRNA from 1 species